rnacentral:rRNA from 1 species
GACGAACGCUGGCGGCGCGCCUAACACAUGCAAGUCGAACGAGCGAGAGAGAGCUUGCUUUCUCAAGCGAGUGGCGAACGGGUGAGUAACGCGUGAGGAACCUGCCUCAAAGAGGGGGACAACAGUUGGAAACGACUGCUAAUACCGCAUAAGCCCACGGCUCGGCAUCGAGCAGAGGGAAAAGGAGCAAUCCGCUUUGAGAUGGCCUCGCGUCCGAUUAGCUAGUUGGUGAGGUAACGGCCCACCAAGGCGACGAUCGGUAGCCGGACUGAGAGGUUGAACGGCCACAUUGGGACUGAGACACGGCCCAGACUCCUACGGGAGGCAGCAGUGGGGAAUAUUGCACAAUGGGGGAAACCCUGAUGCAGCGACGCCGCGUGGAGGAAGAAGGUCUUCGGAUUGUAAACUCCUGUUGUUGAGGAAGAUAAUGACGGUACUCAACAAGGAAGUGACGGCUAACUACGUGCCAGCAGCCGCGGUAAAACGUAGGUCACAAGCGUUGUCCGGAAUUACUGGGUGUAAAGGGAGCGCAGGCGGGAAGACAAGUUGGAAGUGAAAUCCAUGGGCUCAACCCAUGAACUGCUUUCAAAACUGUUUUUCUUGAGUAGUGCAGAGGUAGGCGGAAUUCCCGGUGUAGCGGUGGAAUGCGUAGAUAUCGGGAGGAACACCAGUGGCGAAGGCGGCCUACUGGGCACCAACUGACGCUGAGGCUCGAAAGUGUGGGUAGCAAACAGG